GAUGAACGCUAGCGGCAGGCCUAAUACAUGCAAGUCGAACGGUAAGUUGAAUAGCAAUAUUUGACCUAGAGUGACGUACGGGUGCGUAACACGUAUGCAACCUACCCUUUACAGGAGGAUAGCUCGGGGAAACUCGAAUUAACCCUCCAUAACAUAGUGCUGUGGCAUCACAGUAUUAUUAAAACUCAGGUGGUAAAGGAUGGGCAUGCGUCUGAUUAGUUAGUUGGCGGGGUAACGGCCCACCAAGACGAUGAUCAGUAGGGGAACUGAGAGGUUGAUCCCCCACACUGGCACUGAGAUACGGGCCAGACUCCUACGGGAGGCUG
rnacentral:rRNA from 1 species